UGCUAUUCGUCUUCCGCAUUUAUUUGAUCGACGACAAUAUUACAACAAAUCAGUGUGUUUGUUGCUUAUACAUUUACUCUUGUUGGAGGAAAUUCGUGCUUAACUUCAUAUAUUGGCUCGUACAGGUUUUAGUUAAUACCAAAUGGAUGCAGUACUUCUUGCGGUCUUUAUAGUGAAAGUUUUGAUCCUAUUCUCACUCGUCGGGUAUUCCCACUCCUCAAACUUCACAGAGAGUGUGACGAUAUUAACAAUUGCUGAAGGCAAAGCUUCAACAUUAAACUGCACACAGCAGGAAGGGCGUGUUCUUUGGAAAAUAAAUGG